CUCCAAACCAGCGUCACAUUGUAGUAUUAGACUGGAAGAACAAGACCCAGCUUCGUUUACUGUAUUUGCGCGCUGCCUCUAUUUUAUAUGAAUAUUAAUAUGGAAAAAUUAUGGUUUUCUUCACUUAAAACUAACUUCACCGCGGUACAUGUGGUUGAGGUGCACGCAAAAAAAGCAUAGCUCACGGCAACAAACAAGUCCUCGCAACGGAGUAAACACCUGUUAAGGAAUGAAAAAACAUGAAUACCACAAUAACGACGGCUCAGUUUAAUCCAUUCAACCGCCAAGAAAGUCACAGACUAACAGAAAGGGAGGGGGCGGGGCUACACCUACCGGUAUUCGAGGACUUGGUUCCCUCUGGACGUGACUCCGCUCCUCUUUCUCUCAGAUAGAUCGAUGGACUUUAUUGAUCCCAAACUGGUUGAUUCCGGCGUUGCAGCAGCAGAGCAUCUUCGCCUCUGCGCCUUCAGUGUGAAGACCUGUGGAAUAUCAUAUACCCCCAAAAAUUGGCUGUGGCCAAGAGAGUGUCCAGAGAAAUGUCAGAAUGCCGACAGGUUGUUAUCAUCAGUGCCCUUAUCUUCCCCUUGCAGGAGCACCGGCACAACGAAAACAGCCUGCACAUCCCACCAGUCAAGGCUUCACGGCCUGCUGCAGCAGCCAUCAAACUCUAUCAGACUUGUUCCUCCUCAACCCGUCUGUCUCCUUGUACUGGUUUCACUUCUGUUGACAAAGCAUUACAGAGCCCCCAUGUCUUGUCUUGCCUAAUUGGCCAACGUGGACUAAUUUAGCAUCUAAUUACCGAGCUAGUUUUCAUGCUUGUGAAUUUUCAGGGUCGUGUUUUGCCUUUAGAUAACUUUCCUCCCUCUCUGAAGGCUGUGUAGUUGCUCACAUUUCAAUGAACCAUGUGAAUAAUUGUCUUUUGUAAUAGGUACGAAUAAAAGUGAAAAUACAAUAAUGGCCAUGACUUGGGAACAAGAAAUAAAUACACCCACCAGCAGCAACAUUGGGUUUACAGAAACAACUGAGGCGUUCAAAAAGGGAAGAGAAAAAAAUUCAAAUCUGUAAACGUGUGUGAGAUUGUCAGAAGUGAUGGAUGGUCACUGAAUUGUGGACACAAAUGUUCAGAGCUGAGGGUUUUAAAGCUGACGUAGGUACUGUAUGGGUAAAUAUUAAAGCAAUGUCACAUUACAGUUCAUUAAAAUUUUAACUUAGAUCAAGUUAUGAUCAAUUGUGGCAAGUGAUUAAAGAAAAGUCUCCGACUCGAUGAAGCUAACAGGGAUUUUGAUAAACAAAAAAGGAAAACGCCUCUGCCUGUUGUGCCUACGCUUUUUACACAUCCAUCCAUCUGUGCAAAUGCCAACAUACACGUAUCAUACACACCAUUUCGGAAGGAAAUUUUCUGUGACCUGAUUUGUGACAUUUGAACAUCUGUAGACUCUGAAUUUUAAAGCCUUUAAUUAGAGCUUAUCAGCCAAUUAAGAAAUGUAUAAUUACAAAAGAAAACCAAUUACAAAAUUGAAAAACAUUUCACAUUGAUAGCAUUUAUAGAAUGACACAUUCUGUUGAACAGACAGGAUUGUUCAUUAGGAGCUAUGUCCUCGUCUGAAGCUAUUAAUGCGCAACUUUUAAUUUCCGCACCUACAUGCAGUUGUAGUUUGGUGAAGAAUUAACACGAUUGGAGUUUGAUAAAACCCGUUGAUAUUUGUGUAAAAUCAGAACACAUGCCUCUUAGUUUUGGGCAAGCACCAAAUCUACAUCCAUAUCCUGCCUGUCCCACACAGUAUAUUCAACCGAGGUCUGUGUCUCCCAACAGCACCAGGGAGCAAAGAGUAAUGGAGCAAAUGCAUCAGCUCAUGAUGAGGAGGAAAAGAAGUGAGAUUUUAGCCAGAGCUCGAGCCUGACAUUUUGGACCAGCCCCAGUAUGUGCUUCACACACUUUGGCAUAUCGUUCAAGUUACAGAGCUGAGUAUCCAUUUUUCUGAAAAAACAUACAGUAUACCUGGUGAACCCAGAAGAUGGUUCAUCAACAUCCUUAUGGACCGUUCUAACCAUCUGGAUGAAUAAAACAAAUUUCAGCUUGUUACACAAUAAAAAAACAUUUCAUCUGU
ensembl:lncRNA